rnacentral:tRNA from 1 species
GGGGAUGUAUCUCAAGAUGAGAGCACUUGCCUGACACGCAUGAGGCUCUGGGUUCAAUCCCCAACACUGCCA